rnacentral:rRNA from 1 species
CCUACGGGUGGCAGCAGUGGGGGAUAUUGCACAAUGGGGGAAACCCUGAUGCAGCGACGCCGCGUGAGCGAUGAAUUAUUUCGGUAUGUAAAGCUCUAUCAGCAGGGAAGCAAAUGACGGUACCUGACUAAGAAGCCCCGGCUAACUACGUGCCAGCAGCCGCGAUAAUAAGGAGGGGGCAAGCGGUUUCCGGAUUUACUGGGUGGAAAGGGAGCGUAGACGGCAGUGCAAGGCUGAAGAGAAAGGCAAGGGCUCAACCCUUGGACUGCUUUGGAAACUGUGCUGCUGGAGUGUCGGAGAGGCAAGUGGAAUGCCUAGUGUAGCGGUGAAAUGCGUAGAUAUUAGGAGGAACACCAGUUGCGAAGGCGGCUUGCUGGACGAUGACUGACGUUGAGGCUCGAAAGCGUGGGGAGCAAACAGGAUUAGAUACCCGGGUAGUC